rnacentral:lncRNA from 1 species
GGGGAGGUGACAAUUAACAGAGAUUGCUUGUCAGUGAGACAGUCUUGUUUUAAGGACCUAUCAGAGUCAGGAAUGACUCAAGUCGAGAUAGGUGUAUUUGGUUCUUGUUGUUGGGCUAAAUCUCCUUCCCAGGUUCUUAAACAUAAAAUAUACAGCUUCACAGCUUUUAAAGAUAAGGAUGUAUAUAUUGAACCUAUAAGUAAAUGAUGGACAUAAAUUUUAUAAAUGAAAAUACUGGGUAGAAGAUACAGUGUAAGUGGACCAAGAUAACAAUGCACCAAGAGGGAACUAAAGAGAAGGAAAUCUUGGGACUCUAACCCUCCCCAGUGCAGUGAAGCUUUGGUUAGCAAAAUAACCAGAAUUCUCAGUCAACUAUGCACUCAGCACUGCAAAAUUUCCUGUCUAAUAGAUGUACCUAAUUUGGGGUCAAAAACUAUAUGGAUAAUAAACACAAAAUCCUGUGUACCCAAUAAAAACAAAUGAUAAUCUGAAAUUUCACUUCAAUCCUUCACUUUUUACUCUUGAGAGGAAAUCAAAAUGCUUACCUCUUCUUAGUAGGUUCCGUUGUGUUUUUCCCAAGGAUUUCUCUAAUAAAAAGCAAAUACAGUUUAUUACAUACAUAUGGGCUACUAUACCUCCCACUGUAACCAAGACGGUUUGCUUAGAGCAUAAACUUUCAUAUUUUAUUAGUAAAACAUGGUACCAGGCUGUCAGCCAUUUUCAUGCACUGGGAAAGUCAUAUAACCUCUAACAAAGAGAAAAUGAAUUUGCUCCAAUAUAAGGUGGCCAAAGACCUGCACUGGGGUGCACUCUUGACAUUCACAAAGAAGUCAACAAGUAGGUACUAAGAAAUACUCCUAACGAAUCAAAGGGGAAUUACAUCAGCCAGGUUCCUACCUCUUAUGGCUAUCCAGAAGUCCGCUGUAACUUUCCCAGAUAAAGUAAAUAAAAUGACCAAUCUCAUAUAUUAAAUAAAAAGUACCAAAGUUUCUAAUUCCAUAGUCUGUAAUUUAUUCCUAAAAGGCAUAAAGGGAGUAUACUUUUUACUGCCGUUUUCAAAUGGAAACAAGUCUGUGGGCCUAUUAUAUUUUUCAAGGGAAGAAUCUGUCUUACUGUGGAGAUAUUUUUCAUAAUAAACACUUAUUUCAAGAAGAUACCACACCUGGGGCUCAAAAUGAGUGAGUAGGCAGCCAGCGGGUUGGGGGAGGGGGUCCUCUGUCUUUAGGUCCCUUGAAGAGCAAGCCGUUACUAGAGCACCAUAUUCAUAAAAUCAUCAUCUAACAAAGUGAGGCCAGUAUCUGGCAAAAGUGGCUGAGUUCUCCUUGGGCACCAAGAAACACAGGCCAGAUGGAUGACUGCCAAGAUCUCGUAAUGGCAUGAACUGAGGGGCAAGUUUGUUUGGAUGGCACUGUGAAAAUCAACUUACCCUUCUCUAAUGCAUGCUUACUUGUACCCACAGGACUAUGUGUUUUGUUUUGUUCUCUUUUCUUUUUCUUUUUUGAGACAGGGUCUCACUCUGUCACCCAAGUUGGAGGGCAGUGAUACAAUCACGGCUCACUGCAGCCUCAACCUCCUGAGCUCAAAUGAUUCUCCCGCCUUAGCCUCCCAAUUAGCUGGGAUUGCAGGCGUGCACCAUCACGCCCAACAAACUUUUUAUUUUUUGUAGAGAUGAAGUCUCACUAUGUUGCCCAGGCUGGUCUUGAACUCCUGGCCUCAAGUGAUCCUCCCACCUCCACCUCCCAAAGUUCUGGGAUUACAGGUGUGAGCCACCAUGCCUGGCCUGUUUUGUUUUUUAAAAAUCAGUUUUACCAGAUCCUUUUGUAGUUCAUUAGCAUGAUGACUGGGUUUUCAUGCUCAUAUGUGAGAUGUGCCACCCUCAGACCUUAUUACAUCGCCACAUUACCCAUCUGAUGUGAAAAAAAAAAUCAGUUUUACCUCAUUGCUUUCUGCUCCUCCUCCAUCUGUUCUCUGACCUGCUGUAGUUCCUUCAGUAGUUCAAGAUCUGUGCCAUUCACCCAGGUGUAAACAACGUCAAUCGGCAUGGGCAGACAAAGCCUAGGGCAAACCAACAAAUCCUCCAGCUUAAAUGCAUUUUUCCAAUAUAUUUGGUAAUAAGAAUAUCACAGGGUUUAAACCCAGAGAUUAUGAAAAAAAUCUCUGAAGAAGUAAUCCAACCAUGACAUAUUAUCACAGAACUGCAUGUUUUCAAACUGUAGCUGGGGGGCUAAUAUUUGUCAAGUACCUCCUCUGUGAGUUGUAUUAUGCUAGACACUUAGGUAAUUUGCAUCACCUGAUGCACACAGCCACUCUGUAAGAAGGCUAAUAUUAGAUUUAAAGAUUGUUCGUGGGUGAAGUAGAGUAGUCUUGGAAGUUCAGUUUACAUUAAACUGCCUGUUCUCAUAAUUUAGCAAAGAAGGGAGCUGGGAUGCAAAUGCCGUCAAACAUAGAAAAUAAAUUAGAAGUUUAAAGAACAAAAUUACAGGCUCUGCACAGUGGCUCACGCCUAUAACCACAGCACUUUGGGAGGCCAAGGUGGGAGGAUCACUUGAGCCCAGGAGUUUGAGACCAGCCUGGGCAACAUAGUGAGAACCUGUCUCUACAAAAAAUUUUUAAAAUUAGCUGGGUAUGGUGGUGUGCAUCUGUAGUCCCAGCUACUCAAAAGGCUGAGGUGGGACUACAGUGAGCUAUGAUCGUACCACUGCACUCCAGCCUGGGAGACAGAUCAAGGCCUUGUCUCUAAAAAAAAAAAAAAAAGAACAAAUUACAAAAAAAGUUAUCAAAACCCACAAUGAAGACCUAACCCUACUUAAUGCUGUAGCCUUCUUGUGCCUUGCUCCCCCGCAAGCCUGCACCCUCCCCAGCCUCACCUCUGCUUUUCCUUUUUUUUUUCACAGCACUUACUACUUUUGUAACAUAUUAAAUAAUUAACUUGUAACCUAUUCCGUUAAUUAUGUGUGGCCCUCUCCUAGAAUGUAAGCUCCAAGAAAGCAGAAAACUUUCAUGCUUUGUUCUCUAAAGUAUCUGUGCAAUGAGAAGAGUGCCUGGCACACAGGUGACCAAUAAGUAUAUGCUGACAUAUGAGACACUAGUACAGAAGACCUUCCUGAACUUGCACCAUUUCUUCCUGAUCAUCUUGUCCUCAUAAUAAAGAGUCAGGCAGGCUUUUAAUUCUUGAGUAUGUUGUUUAAGCCUCACCUUAGUGAUUUUACCCAGAUUUUAUCCCUGCCAAAAGCACUCUUCCCUUUUCUCUCACUACCAAAAACCUACCCAUCUUUCAGGGGCCUGCCCAGAUGCAUGCCACUUUGACUUAUGACACAGGAGUUCAUGUGUACAUCUGGGUACUGAUACUACUUUAGAUCAGCAGUGUCCAAUCUUUUGGCUUCCCUGGGCCACAGUGGGAGAAGAAUUGUCUUGGGCCACACAUAAAAUACACUAACACUAAAGAUAGUUGAUGAGCCAAAAAAAAAAAAAUAAUAAACCACGCAAAAAAAAAAAAAAUCUCAUCAUGUUUUAAGGAAGUUUACAAAUUUGUGUUGGGCCGCAUUCAAAGCCGUCCUUGGCCACAUACGGCCCACAGGUUGGGCAAAUUUUCUUUAGAUAGUGCUAUUUCAAGUUUAGUACUUUCCAAGAAACUGUAUGGGUUUUGCAGUUUUAUUUUUAGGCCAAGGACCAAAGCAUACCCUCCUUUUGUCCUCCUCACAGCCCAGGCACAGCCUAGACUUUCAGUUGCUACCAUAUUAUCUCGUGGGAAAAUAAAUGCUAUUUGGUAGCUAAAUCUUUUGAAUUAUGGAAAGAAAAAAAUUAACAGAAAUGAAACAACCUUUAGCUUACAAGAAGUAGGGGAGAUAACUGGAUGAGUUUCUCCAUUCACUGAAUAAUUCUUAUUGAGCGCUUAAUAUGUGCUAGGUACUGUUCUAGGUGCUAGGGUUUCAGCAGUAAAUAAAACAAAGCCCAAAUCUGUGCCUUCACGGAGCUUACAUUCCAGAAGGGAGAAGACAGGAAGUAAAUCAAAUAAAUAAAGUCAGAUGAUGUUAAAUGUUGUGGAGAAAGUAAAGCAGCAAAUGGGGAUAGAAAGAGUGUCUAUGGGGAGGCGGGGCGGUCAGUUUUAAAUAGGGAGAUCAGAGAUGGCCUCAGUAAGAAGGUGACAUUUCAGCAAAGAUAUGAAGGAAGUGAGGAAGCCAGCCAGGUGGGUAACUGAGAGAAGAAUGUGCCAGAGAAAGGGAACACCAAAGGCAAAUGCCCUGAGGCAGGCGCCUAUCUUGCUUGUUCAAGGACCCAGAGGCGAGUUCCCUGAGCAGAGGGGAGAGAGGAAAUGGAAGAGAAUAGUUGAGAUGAAGGUCAAAGAGAUAACAGAGUUCCAGAGCUUCAUCUGGAAAAUAAGGAAUCACCUUAUUCUCUGGCAUAUGUGAUAGCUGAGUACUUACCAAAUGUCUUGUCAAGUUUCACCACUGCCUGCAGAAUAAGGUCUAAAGUCUUUCAUAAUCUGCACCUUAUGUUCUGGAUGAUCCAAUUGUAUACCCUUGUCCAAAGAUGAAACGAACUUGCAGGACUUUGUACCUUUGAAUAUGCUUUUCCUUCUGCCUAGAACAUUCUUUCUUUCAUGCUUCCUUUAACCACCUCCUCCUUCCUCAAUUCCCUCCCUUCCCUCACCUCUCACAAAGAGAAUCUAUAGCUUCAUAUGCAGCUUCCACACUACUUUGAACUGUAAGGAAUCCUGAUUGUACUGUGCUGUGCUAUUUUCCAUGCAGCCCUAUCUUCCACUAGAUGGAGUAUCUCUAGGGCAGAAAUGUUAUCAUGCAUUCUGUGCCCUGCUUCAUUAAUUAUUUCCUCUCUUUCCUACACCUUCGGGCUCUCUCUCCCUACUGUAAUGAUUUGCAAAGGUUUCCCUAUCUAGGGUUUUUCUGAAUUUAUCAAUAAAUAAAUUCUAAUGUUUGUAGAAUUUCCUUUUCUCACAAGCUCUCAGGUAAUGCUGAUGUUGCUGGUCCAGAAAUUGCACUUUGGGAACCACUGAUUUAUAUGUAGGUUACACACUUCGCUUUUUUUCCCCACUAAAAUGCCAAUUCUAUAUAAGGCCAAUGAGUUCAUUUUGUUCACCACUAUAUACCUAGGGCCUAGAAUAGUUCCUCCUACAUGGGUGGGGUUUAAUACAUAUUUAUUGCCUAACUAUUAGUUCAUUCCUUUAUCAUAUAUAUCAGUCUUUCUCAUUUAAAAAAAAAUCCAUCUGCCUCACACUGCCCACAUGUAAAUUAUCCAAGGUCAUCUCAUUCCCAACCUCCCAGGUGAUUUAUGCUCAGUCUAAAAAUAAAUUUUAAAAAACUGCUUCAGUGAUGUGUUUUUAAAAGAAAAGGUUAAAGGAGAGGAGAAUUACAUCUUAAGCUUUCCUGUAACUAAAUAUUUCCUGCUACUAAAUAUUUUUAAUAUAUCAUUUAUAUUAUAUUAUUUAGCUGAUUAAAACAUAAUAUACUGCAUGUAUUACAUGAUCAAUUUAACUUUGGCAAAACUGACAAAUGGAAGGAGACUGUGUGAUCUGCACGAGGUCAAUGAGUCAGUUGUUUUCCUAUUAGACAUGGUCACACUCUGAAUCUUUCAUUCUAACCACUAGACCACUAUCUUGGUUCACAGAUGAGAAGGAAUGCAUUAUCUUGGAGCUGAAAACUAAGACUAAGUCACUCAUAACUCAGAACCAAAGCAGCAAUGACACUGACAUAACUUUCAUUUUAAUCACUGUUUAGUUUAAGUGAAUAUUAAAGCCACUUAACAGUCCCUUGGUUCUACAUUCUAUAAAGUAGGUGAGAAAACAGAGAACUUAAAUAGUAUUUUGUCUUACUUAUUUAUUUAUUUAUUUAUUUACUUAUUUAGAGAUAGAGUCUUGCUCUGUCGCCCAGGCUGGAGUGCAGUGGUGCCAUCUCAGCUCACUGCAACCUAUGCCUCCCAGGUUCAACCAAUUCUCCCUGCCUCAGCCUCCCAAGUAGCUGGGAUUAUAGGCAACCACCACCGCCCUGGCUAAUUUUUGUAUUUUUGGUAGAGACGGGGUUUCACUAUGUUGGCCAGGCUGGUCUUGAACUCCUGACCUCAUGUGAUGUGCCCACCUUGGCCUCCCAAAAUGCUAGGAUUACAGGCGUGAGCCACCGUGCCUGGCCUUCAAUAGUAUUUUAGAACCAAAGAGUUGGAAGAGAUUGUAGUCUUAAUCUAAUACAAUAGCUCUUAAUCUAAUAUCCACAUUUUACAGAUGACAAAAUUGAGCCUCGGAUUGACUUAAUGCCUCACAAUUAGUAGCAGUGAAUAGUUUAUAUAUUCACUUUUACUGACAUAUGGAAUGGGAUUUUUUUCAUUCAGAGCAAACAACCUUAAAAAGAUUUAUACUGGCCAGGUAUGGUGGCUCACACCUGUAAUCUUAACACUUUGGGAGGCUGAGGUAAGAGGAUCGCUUGAAGUCAGGAGUUCGAGACCAG